AAUAGAUACCCAGGUAGUCCACGCUGUAAACGUUGGGCGCUAGGUGUGGGGGGCCUCUCCGGUUCUCUGUGCCGCAGCUAACGCAUUAAGCGCCCCACCUGGGGAGUACGGCCGCAAGGCUAAAACUCAAAGAAAUUGACGGGGGCCCGCACAAGCGGCGGAGCAUGCGGAUUAAUUCGAUGCAACGCGAAGAACCUUACCUGGGUUUGACAUGGCCGCAAAACCGGCAGAGAUGUCGGGUCCUUCGGGGGCGGUCACAGGUGGUGCAUGGCUGUCGUCAGCUCGUGUCGUGAGAUGUUGGGUUAAGUCCCGCAACGAGCGCAACCCUCGUUCGAUGUUGCCAGCGCGUUAUGGCGGGGACUCAUCGAAGACUGCCGGGGUCAACUCGGAGGAAGGUGGGGAUGACGUCAAGUCAUCAUGCCCCUUAUGUCCAGGGCUUCACGCAUGCUACAAUGGCCGGUACAAUGGGCUGCGAUACCGUGAGGUGGAGCGAAUCCCAAAAAGCCGGUCUCAGUUCGGAUCGGGGU
rnacentral:rRNA from 1 species